rnacentral:rRNA from 1 species
GGGCCCGCACAAGCGGUGGAGCAUGUGGUUUAAUUCGAAGCAACGCGCAGAACCUUACCCGCGUUUGACAUGCCCUGUUUGGUUACCAGAGAUGGUUUCCUUCAUUUAGUUGGCAGGUGCACAGGUGCUGCAUGGCUGUCGUUAGCUCGUGUCGUGAGAUGUUGGUUAAGUCCCGCAACGAGCGCAACCCCUUAUCCUUAGUUGCCAGCGAGUAAUGUCGGGAACUCUAGCAAGACUGCCAGUGCAAACUGUGAGGAAAGGUGGGAUGACGUCAAAUCAUCACGGCCCUUACGUCCUGGGCUACACACGUGCUACAAUGGUAGGUACAGAGAGCA